UAUAAUAAAUAAUGUCGCCAGGAAACACCCGUUCCCAUCCCGAACACGGAAGUUAAGCUCUCCAGCGCCGAUGGUAGUUGGGGCCAGCGCCCCUGCAAGAGUAGGUCGCUGCUAGGC
rnacentral:rRNA from 1 species